rnacentral:rRNA from 1 species
UACGAAGGGGGCUAGCGUUGUUCGGAAUUACUGGGCGUAAAGCGCGCGCAGGCGGUUCUUUUAAGUCAGGGGUGAAAGCCCAGAGCUCAACUCUGGAAUUGCCUUUGAAACUAGAGAACUUGAGUACGGGAGAGGUGAGUGGAAUUCCGAGUGUAGAGGUGAAAUUCGUAGAUAUUCGGAAGAACACCAGUGGCGAAGGCGGCUCACUGGCCCGUUACUGACGCUCAGGCGCGACAGCGUGGGGAGCAAACAGG